rnacentral:rRNA from 1 species
UGGGGAAUAUUGGACAAUGGGGGGAACCCUGAUCCAGCCAUGCCGCGUGUGUGAAGAAGGCCUUAUGGUUGUAACGCACUUUAAGCGAGGAGGAGGGUACUGGUAUUAAUACUACCAGGUACUGGACGUUACUCGCAGAAUAAGCACCGGCUAACUCUGUGCCAGCAGCCGCGGUAAUACAGAGGGUGCGAGCGUUAAUCGGAUUUACUGGGCGUAAAGCGUGCGUAGGCGGCUAAUUGAGUCGGAUGUGAAAUCCCCGAGCUUAACUUGGGAAGUGCAUUCGAUACUGGUUAGCUAGAGUGUGGGAGAGGAUGGUAGAAUUCCAGGUGUAGCGGGGAAAUGCGUGGAGAUCUGGGGGAAUACCGAUGGCGAAGGCAGCCAUCUGGCCUAACACUGACGCUGAGGUACGAAAGCAUGGGGAGCAAACAGG